CAGCCUCAUUACGUAUUCCAAAUACCUUUCAUGUGUCCUUACUCAAACCUCUUGUGUGCAAUAAAUAUACUGUCUCAAGUGUCCCUCCUCCUCUCUUAGUUGUUUCUGGACAGGAAGAGUAUAAGGUCUCCUCCAUAAUUGAUUCCAGGUUUUCUCGCGGCACUUUACAAUACUUGGUAGAUUGGAAAGGUUAUGGACCAGCCG